UACAGAGGGUGCAAGCGUUGCUCGGAAUUAUUGGGCGUAAAGGGUAGGUAGGUGGUCUCGUUUGUCAGAGGUGAAAGCCUUAGGCUUAACCUGAGAAGUGCCUCUGAAACGGCGAGACUAGAGUGCUGGAGAGGGUCGUGGAAUUCCCGGUGUAGCGGUGAAAUGCGUAGAGAUCGGGAGGAACACCAGAGGCGAAAGCGGCUACCUGGCCCAUUCUUGACGCUGAGGCGCGAAAGCUAGGGGAGCAAACGGG
rnacentral:rRNA from 1 species